GAUGAACGCUGGCGGCGUGCCUAAUACAUGCCAGUCGAGCGAACGGACGAGAAGCUUGCUUCUCUGAUGUUAGCGGCGGACGGGUGAGUAACACGUGGAUAACCUACCUAUAAGACUGGGAUAACUUCGGGAAACCGGAGCUAAUACCGGAUAAUAUUUUGAACCGCAUGGUUCAAAAGUGAAAGACGGUCUUGCUGUCACUUAUAGAUGGACCCGCGCUGCAUUAGCUAGUUGGUAAGGUAACGGCUUACCAAGGCAACGAUGCAUAGCCGACCUGAGAGGGUGAUCGGCCACACUGGAACUGAGACACGGUCCAGACUCCUACGGGAGGCAGCAGUAGGGAAUCUUCCGCAAUGGGCGAAAGCCUGACGGAGCAACGCCGCGUGAGUGAUGAAGGUCUUCGGAUCGUAAAACUCUGUUAUUAGGGAAGAACAUAUGUGUAAGUAACUGUGCACAUCUUGACGGUACCUAAUCAGAAAGCCACGGCUAACUACGUG
rnacentral:rRNA from 1 species